rnacentral:rRNA from 1 species
AGCAGUCAAGAAUAUUAGUCAAUGCUCGAAAGAGUGAACUAGCUAACUGAAAUCAAUUAUAAUAAUGUGAUAACAUAAGGGAAAAUAAUGAUAUUACCUUAUGUAUUAGUGUGCGUCCAAAACUGGUGCCAGAAGACUCGGUAAGGCCAGAGACACAAACGUUAAUCGUCUUAAUCAGGCGUAAAGGGUUUGUAGGCGGCUUUAAAAUUUAGUUAAUAAAUAUAAUUAUUAGAUAAAGAAUAAAAGCUAGAAUCAAAUAGAGGAUAUAUGAAAGAAUGCUUAGAGUAGGUCUGAUAUCUUUAGAUACUAAGUAGAAUACUAAAGGCGAAAGCUUUUUUCCAUUAAUGAUUGACGCUCAGAAACGAAGGUGAGGAUAGGAAAUAGGAUUAGAUACCCAGAAUACCCCUCUCUGUCAACGAUGAAUGGUAGUUAUUAGUAAAAAUUAUUAAUGGCAAUGUUAACACGAUAACCAUUCCGCCUUGUGAGUACGACUGCAAAGUUGAAAACAAAAAAAUUAGUCGGUUUCGGAGCAAACGAAGUGAAGCAUGUUAUUUAAUUCGAUAAUCCGCAAA